AUAUGGUACUGAGGUACGUUUUUUUCUUAGACUUUAUCUGUCUAGAUGGAGUUAUCUAUAUAUGUCUUUGUUCUGAUGUAUGGGGUGACAGUUCAGAUUAGUAUGAAGUAAAUAUUAGUUCUAAUGAAAUUCCGCAACAUGGCGCGUUUUCAUUAAACGACAACUGAACAGGCUCUAUAAAAAGGUUUACUACAAUAAGUAAUCAAAAUGCUAGUCCAUAAUAUUGUAUUUAAUAUAAGCUUGUAAAACAACUGGUAUCAUCCAAUGCUUUAACUAUUUAAAAGCUGCGUGCAAUGCAGGCACAUUGGUCCUCAGAAAGCAUAUUUUACACAUUUUCGUAGCUAAUAUAAUGUAGUCUAAUGGCACCAAUUCAUAUUUUUCAUGACUCAUUUUUUUUUCAGUCUUAUUAAUAACAUAGCAAAUAAUUAAUAUAAAUGACUAAUUUUAUAAUUCUCAAUAACAAUAUCAAGUGAAUUCAUUGUAAUUAACAUUAGAAUACUUAAUGUACAUUCAAGGGUCUCCCCACAUUUUUUUCAUACUACGUCGGUGGCAAACAAGCAUACGGUCCACCUGAUGGAAAGCGGUCACCGUAACCUAUGGACGCGUGCAACUCAAGGAGUGUCACAUGCGCGUUGCCAUCCCAUUAGAAAAUUGUACACUCCUUUUUGCUGUGUUAAGUACACAUCAAAAGGAGUGUACAAAUUCUAAGGAGGGAACUCGGGUUGCCGACGCGUCCGUCACCAGCACACCGCACCUCACCCUCGCUCUGGCAGCCUUCCUCACGAGCAGGAGCACAACACUAUGAGUAGGGUCUAAUGCUAUCGACUCGGAAUCGGCAAAAUGUGAUAGGAAAUAUUUUAGGCUUGCGGUAGAAAGCGAAAGUAACUCGGCUCGGCACGCAUUUUGCAAGGCUCGCCGGGACGUAAAUCACACAUCUCUUUCUCAUUGUAUUACAUAACUGAACUGAUAAUAAGUAUAUGUAUGUCUAAGGACGUGCAGUCUAUGUCACAGCGACAUAUUCUCGCGCUGCUGCUGCUAUCGGCGCUUUCCGACGCGUAGCGUGCACGUAGCGAUUAUGUGGGGAGACUCUUUACUUGAAAUUAUAUUUAAUUAGGAUAAUGGAUAGUUAAUAAAGCGGAUCAAGCUUAUAAUUAUACAUACAGUCUUCGUUUGAGUGCGAUAAUCUUACAAAUAAAAUGUCUUAAAUUACUUUAUAAUUGACUAAAUUAUGUUACUGAUGGUCGUUCCUUAUUAAAUAUUGAUUAAGCCAUAAGUAUUGUCCCGGAGCUGUAAGUUCACAUUUAAACUGGCGCGACCUAAUGAAAUUUUAAAUAAAAUCCUGUAAUAGUGUUAAUAAAAAUCAAGUACCUACCUACUUAAAAACAAUAUAUCGCUUACUUCAAACAUAAUCUAACACAUGUUACAUUCUUCGUUAGUGAGUAUUUUACGAUAUUAAUUUAUCACGCAGGAUUUACUUAUUAUGUCAUUUACAAUGAUCGGGGAUUUGGUUGCCACACGGGGUGAAUGACCUCAAUCAUUAUGCUAGUAUGGAUAUGCCGCGGGAUUCCGGGCUUUAUAUGGUUAGAUAAAGGACAGUUUUUUUAAUCAUAAUUUACCUGUAUAAUGUUAUAUAUUGGUUGUCAAUGUAUUGCUAUUAUGGGUCAAUGUUUUAAAUGUGACAUGACAUCAUCAAUGUUAUUAAUGCUGAGUUUUUUUUAAUUAGUUUAAUAUAGGCCUGUCUUACAAUAAAAUAUGUGAUUUAAUAUAAAAAAUCACUUUAUUAUCAUCCAACAACACUAAAAGGCAACAUAUUAUAUACCAACUUCAUCAUCAAGCCUACUUCAGUUUUUGGUGCUGUUUAAUUCACAGUUUA